GGCGCAUGCGUUGUCUGGAAUUAUUGGGCGUAAACAGCUCGUAGGUGGUCUGUUGCGUCCGCAGUGAAAACUCAGGGCUUAACCCUGACCCUGCAGUGGAUACGGGCAGACUACAGGUAGGUAGGGGAGAAUGGAAUUCCUGGUGUAGCGGUGAAAUGCGCAUAUAUCAGGAGGAACACCGGUGGCGAAGGCGGUUCUCUGGGCCUUACCUGACACUGAGGAGCGAAAGCGUGGGGAGCGAACUAGAUUACAUACCCUGGUAGUCCACGCCGUAAACGUUGGGCGCUAGGUGUGGGAUCCUUCCCCGGAUUCCGUGCCGC
rnacentral:rRNA from 1 species